AUUUGAUUUCUGCUUGUAUAAAAUGCAGAAGACGGGAAAUGAAAUGUUAGGAAACUUUAGAUUUAGAAACAUUUUCUUUCUCAAACAAUGAGUAUAUUUUUUGACGUAUGCUGUUAAUGCACAUUGCCAAUAUUCGCUUAAAACCUGAGGAAAUUUGGAUACAGUAGUUUGCAACAUAUACAUGUAUGUAAUACGAGAACGUGUCGCGUACUGUUAAAUCGCACGAUUUGAAAAUUUCAAGAUGGCGCAGCCUUGUACUCGCUCCGUGCACUUUUGUCAGUCGCAGUCAGUUUCAGUUGGUUUCAAUCUUUCGUCUGAAGCGUGUUCGUUUCCACGUUACUUCUAGCGUCUGAUCGAAGGUGACUGAAAGUAACAGACAUAAUUGGAGGUGACAGAAAAAUUAGAAAAGAUUUCUCGCAUCCGUGUCGUUGCAUUAGUGUUGCCUCGCGCUCUCGCGAAAAUCACGUCACCGUUUCUGCAGGAUGAAGGUGACGAUAAAGAGCUGGACGGGUGUCGCCACCUGGCGGUGGAUAGCCAAUGACGAUAAUUGCGGCAUAUGCAGGAUGCCGUUUGACGCCAGCUGCCCGGAUUGCAAGAUUCCUGGAGACGACUGUCCAUUAGUGUGGGGGCAGUGCUCGCAUUGUUUCCACAUACACUGCAUCAUGAAGUGGCUGCACUCGCAGCAGACCAGUCACAUCUGCCCGAUGUGUCGCCAGGAGUGGAAGUUCAAGGAGUAACCGUGGACGUUUUCCGCACGGGCCCGCAGGUGUCAGCACGCAGCGAGUGAUCAGCAUACAAGAAAGGAUCGCGAUGUCUUCCUUGCAAGGACUACCCCCUUUGCCGAGGAGUCUGAGCGGCUUCAACUUGAACGGCGGACGCGGCGAGAGUGGCGAGCCGCCUCCACCGCCUACGAGGUCGUCCAGUAAAUC
rnacentral:misc_RNA from 1 species